rnacentral:rRNA from 1 species
AAUUGUAGUUUAAAGAAGCGUUUUCGGUGGCAGCCUGGGUAUAAAUCCUUUGGAACAGGGUAUCAUAGAGGGUGAGAAUCCCGUCUUUGACUCAGUGCAUGCUACUAUGUGAUACGUUUUCAAAGAGUCGAGUUGUUUGGGAAUGCAGCUCAGAAUGGGUGGUAAAUUUCAUCUAAAGCUAAAUAUUGGNGAGAGACCGAUAGCGAACAAGUACCGUGAGGGAAAGAUGAAAAGAACUUUGAAAAGAGAGUUAAACACUGCGUGAAAUUGUUGAAAGGGAAACGCUUGACACCAGUCAUGCGAGCGGAAAAUCANUCUUUUGCAGUGGGGAGUUGUGUGGGUUCNGACCGCAAGGGCNGCCUGCGCUGCAUCUCUGCUGUAAGUGAUGCACUUUUUCGUUUGCAGGCCAACAUCANUUUCUUCUGCUGGACAAAACUCUUGAGAAGAUGGCAGCUUAAGCUGUGUUAUAGCUCUUGAGCGAUACAGUGGAGGGGACUGAGGUUUUC